rnacentral:rRNA from 1 species
CAGCCGCCACGGUAAAACGAAGGGUGCAAGCGUUAAUCGGAAUUACUGGGCGUAAAGCGUGCGCAGGCGGUUUGUUAAGACAGAUGUGAAAUCCCCGGGCUCAACCUGGGAACUGCAUUUGUGACUGGCAAGCUAGAGUGUGGCAGAGGGGGGUGGAAUUCCGCGUGUAGCAGUGAAAUGCGUAGAUAUGCGGAGGAACACCGAUGGCGAAGGCAGCCCCCUGGGCCAACACUGACGCUCAUGCACGAAAGCGUGGGGAGCAAACAGGAUUAGAGACCCCAGUAGUCCCUGUCUCUUAUAC